GUGAGACAGGUGCUGCAUGGCUGUCGUCAGCUCGUGUUGUGAAAUGUUGGGUUAAGUCCCGCAACGAGCGCAACCCUUAUCCUUUGUUGCCAGCACGUCAUGGUGGGAACUCAAAGGAGACUGCCGGUGAUAAACCGGAGGAAGGUGGGGAUGACGUCAAGUCAUCAUGGCCCUUACGAGUAGGGCUACACACGUGCUACAAUGGCAGAUACAAAGUGAAGCGAACUCGCGAGAGCAAGCGGACCACAUAAAGUCUGUCGUAGUCCGGAUUGGAGUCUGCAACUCGACUCCAUGAAGUCGGAAUCGCUAGUAAUCGUAGAUCAGAAUGCUACGGUGAAUACGUUCCCGGGCCUUGUACACACCGCCCGUCACACCAUGGGAGUGGGUUGCAAAAGAAGUAGGUAGCUUAACCUUCGGGAGGGCGCUUACCACUUUGUGAUUCAUGACUGGGGUGAAGUCGUAACAAGGUAACCGUAGGGGAACCUGCGGUUGGAUCACCUCCUUA
rnacentral:rRNA from 1 species